UGCUGUCCCCACCUUCACCCUGGCAGUGCUCAUCACUGUGGAGCAGGGCUUCUCUGCAGGACUGCUGUGAGUCUGUUUGCAGGGGUUUACCUCCUCACUUCAAUUCAUUAAGCACUUAACCCUGGAAAUUCCACGUUAAUCUAUGCCAAGACAUUAACAUAUUAAUUUAUGUGAAAAAAAAUUAUUUGCUUUUGCUGCCGAUUAUGCCACAGGAAACCACAGUCCAGUCCCUGAGGCUCAGCACAGCAUCAUUUCCGCUGCCUUUCUGCCUUCGCAGGCUGACUCUUCUCAAGUUUCUAUAGGAAAAAUACCUGCCUAUUAUUGACUCUUCAUGCUGCCCAUCUCACCUUCUGAGGCAGUCGUCUGCGAUCCUGUACAGUGCAACUGCACCAGGGAUUAUCAUAGAGAACUCUUUUCUGGAUUGCACUUAAUCCCUUUCUCAAACCUCCUGCUUCACCUUUAGAUGGACAGGCAAUGAGGUCUUCAAAGACUAUAAUGGAACAAAAAAUCUCUUUUCUGGAUGGUGGGGAGCAGAAACAGGGUUGGAGGAGCCCUGUGGGAGUAGGGAUGGUCCCCUUGCUCCUCAUCCUUCCUUUGGUUUUGGGGACUUUGGAGCAAGUUCCUAUCUGUCAGGUGGUCCUUGUUGUGGUGGGACCCAUCCUGGGAGAUGUGAGUGUCCUCCAUACCUUGGUCUUGCGCAGACUUGGCCAUCCUAUUCCUGGGCUGUCCAUGGGUGGCUUUGAAAGGGGGGCUGACAUCCCUUCCCUCCCCAGGGUGGGCUGCUCCUCCUCUUCAUGGGGUCACUUUUGCUACCCUCUUUCCAGCCCCAAGGGGGUAGGAGCUGAGGUCUGAGGUCUGAGGGAGCCUGUGCCAAGCCCUGGACAAUCACUGGUGUCCCAGGAGACUCAACCUCCAGUGCAAACAGGAAGGCACCAAAAGCUUGGACAUGCUGGGGUGGAAAUACUCCUAUUCCCAGGGAAAUAUUAGCCAGACAAACAAAUGUAUAGCCAGAGAAAUACGCAAAUACCCUGUGACAGUACAUUCAGGUGGGGAGCACCCCAACAUGGCUGUCUGAGCUCAGCCCAGCCAGGGUCAGGCACUGCCAGCUGCUGCCCCAAUAAGGGGGGUGGGAGGGGUGGGGAGGAGGGCUCAUGUCAGUUUUCCUUUCCCAUGUAGCCCUGUCAAGGCACCAUAGGCUGGAGAGCAGGGCACCGAGGGUGGCAGUGCCUCUGGCCAUGGUGUGUGGGCAGCCCCAGCCACUGACAGGGAACCCAGCCAUGUCCCUGGGGAGGAGCAGGUGUCUGCACUGAGGUGGCUGCAUACACUGAGGUGGCUGCCAGGUGAGCAGUGCCUGAGCUCCAAGCACAAGGAAGUUCAGUGUGAAAAAGCAAGCGAGGGGCAGGAUAAGCUUUCUUUGCCAUGGAAGAUGAAGCAGGCAACUUGCUCCAAUGGCAGGAGGUGAGAGCAGCCUUGUUUUCUGAGGAAACAGGGAUGUGGAUUUUGGGCACCAUCAAAGAAAAGCAAGAACAGAUGUCAACUCUGCAGGACUUGGGUUGUGAAGCAUACAAUCUGCCCAAAUGAACAGGUUCCGUGAACAAGCAGCUGUGCGGGGAGCCAGCCAGGCACAGCUGGGUUGCCCUGCCACACUACCACUCUGCUGACUUUCUACCUGCCACACUGUCGCCUGUCUGCCUGCCACCCUGCUUGCCAUCUGUCUGCCUGCCAGCAUCUUACCUCUGUCACCUCUGUUGAUCUCCACAGCACUGCUCUCCAUACAUUCGUCCUGCCUUGACCAUUCCCAGGAACAGAGGCACACUGUGAAUUUUUAGGGAACUCCUUUGAUAGUGGAAGGGACAGAUCCCCUCAGCAUAACCAGAUAUGAAAUGGCAUUGAAACCUGAAAUAACCAGACAAUCCACCAGGUGCAGGAGCAGGGUUUGCUGUGGGGCAGCAAUAAGUUCCCCACAAUUUAAUGCAAAUUUUUCAUUAUUAUUACAGCCUGUGUCACCACCGUAUGGGGCCACAGCAGCAAGGGACCAGGUUAACCUGCCUGAUCUCACAGGAGAGAUCUCUCAGGAGCCCAAACUCCCUGCUGUGCUGAUGUCUUUGGAUCACCCCAUACCUGGAUAAACACAGAGAGCUUAAUCCCAGGAGAAACUCGAGCUUCUGAGCUGAUUGUGGGAUGCCACCAGCUUGAAUGUGAGAAAAUCAUGUGUUGUGAAGAUCUUAAAAAGCCCUGGGAAGCCUCAUUCAUUUCCUCCUCCUCCUUCAUGUGCUACCAGCCAAUGUGACUGACGUGCAGCUGGAUGCUCCCAAGGAUGCAUAGAGAUCUCUCCUGCUGCAGAGGGACACCCUCAGACACACCCCAGGGCUGCAGUGCAGGCAAACCUCCAGAAGCACCAUCCCUCAUCAGGGAGCUGCUGAACCCCAGCACUGGGAGCUGCCUGCUUUAGGAUGGGUUGGAUCUGGCUUCUACCUUCACUUCAUACAUUGGAAGAGCUGGUGGCUCCAUCCCUCUCCAAUCUCUCCAGGACUGUCCUGAGUUUGCAGACACCCUGUAUCUUCUCUGGCUGGAGGGACCAGUACUGCUUAGACAGGAAAGGUCCUUGCCAACAGAGUUUCCCAGGAAUCCUAUGGCCAUGUGAUGCCUCCUGGCAGGGCCCAGCUGUCCCUGCUGCCCCAUUUGCCACUGCACCACCCUGCUGCAUUCCAGGGGGCAGGAUCAGUCCCCUCAUGGUCCUUGCUGCCAUGCUAAUUGUUCCUACAGCCAGCUUCCACGUCACAUCCCUCCUGGGGUGAACAAGGAUAUCCACCACAGAGCAGAGGCAUACUACUAUCCCACAGACUGGCCCAGACCUUCGGGGUUUUCCCACCAGUGAUGUACUUUCCAUUGCUUUAAAAAAUAAAAUCCCAGUAAUAAAAACUCCAGCUAAUUUUAUCCCCAGCCUGUUUUUCCAGGCUGCUGCAGGAUGAGGUACCUCCCCCAGCCUUGUCUGGGGGGUUCACUGUGCAGCACCAACAGUGCUCAUGCAUCCAGGGUGUCUGGAGGCAUCGGAGAGGAGGACAUCGACCCCAACAGUUGGCUAGUUGCCCAUGGAAGGCCUCUUUCAUCUUUGCCUUGCUGGAGAGCUAGGAAUGAGAGGGGAACAGUUUGGUGUGGUGGGAGCACACAGUGCAAGCAAAGCCACAGUGUGACCAUGGUAACAGUGUGAGCAUGGACGCAUGUGGCCAUGGACAGUGCAACCCAUAAGCAUGAUGUGGGCACAGAUACAGGAUGAGCAUGUACAUGGAAUGACCACAGUCCCAGUGUGUGCACAGACACUGUGUGCAUGUCCACAGGACAGCCUGGCACAGCAUGUACAUCUACAGCCACAGCUGUGCUACUGUGCUUAUGCCCUUAUGUGUGCCUGGGGCAGUGGAUUUCUCUACCAGGGCCUGAAUUGCUGAGCAUCUCCCGAGCACUACCAUGCAUACUGGUGCAGUGGUGUCUGUGGCAGUGUUCCUCCAUCCAUCUGUCAUUGGAGGGUGUCAUUAGUAUGCUCACAGGCAGUGCUGAAGCACCCAGCAGCUGUUGAGCUGUGGCAGUGGUCAGCCAAGGUGGCUGUCACAGCCUGACAUUGGCACACACCAGCCAUUUCUCAACCCUGCAGCUGGUCUGGCAGCUGGAAGCAUGGGCAAAAAUUCCCUGGCCCUGAAGGCAUCACCCUGGUGCCUGAAGCCAGCAGCAAGAGGGCAGGAGGGGCCCAGGGGGCUGGGGACCUUGAAGAAGGAAUCCUGCUCUGCAGACCCACAUCCCAUCCUGAGGCUACCACACCAGCAUCCUGUGAGCAGAGAGAGCUGCCAAUCCCACUGAGAGGCAGGAGGAGGAAAAGCAGCUCAUGCCCUCACUAAAAUGGUGGAAAUCCCUAGAAUAGCACAGGAACUGGAGAAGGGCUCCAGCUCCCAUUGUUCCCAGGACAUGGUGCAGUCACAGUGAGAGCUCUGCCCCUCCUCAGAACUCCCUGGCACAGUUGUCCUGCGGGAUGCAAAGCAAUUGGGUCAUUCCUGGGGGUGUUAGAUCUUGUGGGAUGAACUGCUCCAAGCCUCGCAGCCCCAGCAACCCAAUUAAGUUUUGCAAUACUUAGUAGCCCCUUUAGUUUCAUAAUUCCGGGCUCCCUCUGGAGGCGGGUGCUGCACGAGAAACUGAGCAAAGGGAGCGAAGAAGGCUGAGGACCCUGGAGAGAAAUAAACAUCCUCUCCUAAAAGUGUUGCUUAUAAAACCUGCCUUUUUGGUUGCUGUUGUUUCGGUUUGGUUUGGUUUUGGGUGUUUUUUUUUUACUCCUAAUUCCUUGAUUUUAGGAAGUCUAAGGAGAUUUAUGACUUUUUGGGAGUUGGCAGCAAUGCAACAGUCUACUCAUCUAAGGAAAAUGUGAAAAAUGGCUGGGUUUGGAAAAGCCCCUUAGGAUGUGGGACAGAGAAGUAAAACAGGAGCUGAAAAGUGCAGAUGUCCAGGCUAUGCAUAGUGCGGGACACUGCAGGGGUGAAGCUGCUCCUACAGACCUCACCAAGAACCUCCCCAGAAUCAGCCACGUGCCUCCAGCUGUCAUGGAUGCAGGGGUGCCAGGGAUGCUGCUGGGGUGCUGGGUCCCUCUAACCCAGUGGGAAACCCUGGCAGCCUGGCAUGGAGAAGUAGCUGCAGGCACUCACCAGCCAACAGUGAGAAGGCGUUGGCAAUGGUGCAGGAGCAUCAGGACCACGUCUCUUACAAACCCAAAUUAUUUCCUUCUAAGCCAUCAAUACUACAUAUUUAAUGGUUGAAUUUUUAGAUUAUUUGGUUAUUACCUUCCUGGUUGAACCAGCUGAGGCCUAUCCAAACUGGCCAGGGCACAACUGUCACAGGGGAUGGGACACUGGACUCAAGAGUCUGGGGUGGCUCCCAGCCUGGCACAGUGAGUUGGUUGAUCCAUCUGUGGGACAAGGCCUUGCCCAAAAAGUGGUUCAGCCUGAGGACUGAUGAAGGUCUUGGAAGAUUUGAAGAGCUAAUGGAGAUUUUGGAAGGGUCCCAAAGAACUGCACACUUUCUGCCCAGGAGAACUCAUGCUUCCAGAAAGAAAAAAUGGAAGUGUUUAAAACACCUGCACCAAACUCAGUGCAAAGCAUUUUCAUCUAGGGCUAAACAAAGCUUUAGGGGCCAAGGCAAUGUCUUUUGGGUUCCUUGAUUUAACAAAUAGGACAAAAGAUUUUCUUUCCCAGUUUGAGCAGCACCACAUGGGAGCAUUGAUCGUCAGCAAAGAGGCCAUACCUGGAGGACCUGGAGCUAGGACAUCCUGCUUGCACUGGGCUGUCAUCGCUCUGUCACUCUGCCCUGUGGGACCCAUCUGUGGGCAUAAAAACAUGGAUGUGGUUGUGACCUUUGCCCACGGCAGCUGCAGGAUGCCUUUGCCUGCUAGCAGUGCAGGUGGCCCUGCCUGCCCUCAGGUUCUUGACAGGAAGAUGUCAUAAUUUAGAUAACAAAAAUAGGAAUUUUUUUUUACCCCCAAGGAAAAGGGCCAGAGGACAUGUCUACUGUCUUUUUGGGCUUGUAGACGCUCAGAGAUAUCCUUCAUGGGCUGGAUUUUUUUUCAGUAGCCAAAAUAAACCAAACCUGCCUGCCUGGACCUGCCUGAGGAUGGGUUGUCCCUGGCUGCCCAUGACCGAUUUGUGGGCUCUCCUAGACCCAAAGCAGGGAAAAUUUGGGGGUAAAAGGAGGGUGCCCAGGUGAUGCUCCAAGGCAAAAGGACUUGCUGUCCCCUGGAUCCAGCCACAGGGCAAAGUGGGAGUCAUGUCUCCCCUGCCCCGUGUCGAGGGGGCCAGACAGCAGCAAGACAGGGGAGUGAAGUGCUGGGCUGUUUGUGCCUUGGGGAUGUGCUGGUCCAUGGAGGAGAGCCAUCAAGAUGAUUAGGAGGGAUGAAGCACUUCUCCUGAGGAAAGGUUGCAUAAGUUAGGCUUUCUCAGUCUGGAGAAGGCUCCAGGGAAACCUUAGACCCUCUUCCAGUGCCUAAGGAGACCCCAAGAGAGCAGGACAGGGGCUUUGGACAAAGGCCUGGAGUCAUAGCACAAGGGUGAAUGGCCUCAAGGGUUACUGUAAUAGGGAGAAAUUCUUCCCUCUGAGGGUGGUGAGGCCCUGGCGCAAGUUGCCCAGAGCAGUUAUGGCUGCCCCAUGCUGGUAUUGUUCAAGGCCAGGCUGGACAGGUCUUGGAGCUACCUGGGAUAGUGGAAGGUGUCCCUGCCCAUUGGAAGGUGUGGAACAAAAAGGUCUUUAAACAUCCCUUCCAACUCAAAACCAGCUGGGAUUCUGAUUCUCUGAUUCAAUGGUUCAUGUGCCCAGCCCUCGUCUACAGCUGAGGAAGGGCAGUCAAAGGGUCUUUUUACAUGAGUGGGUUUUGAUGGCUCCCUAGGAUGUGAUUGCAGCCUAGACCUAGUGCAGGCUCUGUCCCUCCAAUUGCCCAUUCCCAUCCAGAACAUGAUCCGGGAGGAGCAACCAGAGGUGUCCCAAUGGCACAGCAGGAGGAUGGGGUCACCUCUACCCACUGUCUGCACCCACUGCCACAAGGAUGUCCCACAAAGGGAUGCUUUGGGUCUAAGGGAACCCACACAUGUGGUCUUCCAGGGUGUUAGCCAAGACCUCAGCCCCUGCUCUGCUCCCUGACAGCUGCUUUUCCAGGGCUGGGUAUCUGCCAUGUGCUGCUGUCUCCUUGUUAAUGUGGGGGAGUCUAAGUCACGGUCCCUGUGGUACGCAGCUGCAGAGCAAAGAAGGGAUUCUGGGAGCCUCACUCUUCUCCAUCACAUGGGUCUCCUGGAGGGAGCAUCUGCCUUCAAUCAGCUGUACCUUGGAACAGAGCGAGGUGGUUGUGCAGGCAGAGGUGAACACCCACAGCAGGGUGGGAUCACAGCCACAGUGAGUCAUUGGCUCUGGCAGAGAUCUGAUGGGACACUGAAGCAGAGCCUGGAUGCUGUACUUGAUCCCCUCAGGAUGGGAAAUGAACCCCCCAGAAAUUAACCAUGCUGGUGAACAGAGGCUCAGCCUCCACCAUACCCUGCAGUGGGGAAGGCAGACCCUCUCCAUUCCACCUGGGAGUGAGCCUUAGCUCACAGUGCUGCAAAUGUCAGCCACAGGCAGGGAGGAGGAACGGGAAGCACUGGGUAGCACCAGGUGACGCUCCUAAAGCAGAAGACAGUUUACACCAAGAGUUUAUACCAAGAGGAGAAUAGAGUUGGCAUUCUGGAACCUGGGAUACAAGCAAGAGCCCAGGAUAGAACAUUCUAACUGAGGGAUCACAGGGAUGAUCAGCACCCGCUUGCAGGCCUGAGAUGCAACAGGCACCUCCUUAGUCCAGUCAGUCCUCCAUGGCCCAGUUCCCCCAUCCCAAUGAGAACCAGCCCUACGACCCAGGGUCUUCUUCCGGUCAUCACAUCCUCAGUUUGCUUCCCAGUGAGUUGCACUGCCAACAGCAAGGCCACGAGGUGCAGAGCGGGAGGGCUGCAGGGCCAGGGCAGCAGAGAUUGGUGGCCCAGCAGUGCUGACCAUAUGGCAGGGAAGAAAAGCAAAAAAGAUAGAAUGUUCAGGUCAGGGGUCCAAGACGCAUCUGUUCCUGCUGACAUGUAGGAUAAUCGCUUUGCUGGGACAGCAGGCCUUCUCUGAAGGGGCAGCGGGGCAUGGAGCCCAGGCUCAGAGGACAUGUAAAGUGCAUGUAGCUGGGCAGGAAAGGAGAGAAAGUAGGAAUAGAUAAACCUGGGUGACUGGAUCCUUCCCAAACUGCACAGCUGAGGACACAGAGGAUGACAUGCUGCAUCCCUGGGCAGCCCAGGGGCCAGGUACACCUCCAGACUGAGCUCAGGAGAGGGCUCACUCUGCUCCGACAGUAGUUCCAGGUUCUGGUGGUGGGGACCCCCCACGCAAUGUCACUCUGGCAGCCACCAUAAAUGCCCAGCGACAGGCAUGUUGAACCCAUGGUGUUGCACCUGUGUGUGACAACCUCCAGCAUGGAGGGCUGUGGGGAGGUGAGGUGGGUUGGCAGGAGCUGUCCUGGCUGGGGACAGCAAAGCCCGGCUCCAGCUGUUCCCAGUGUAACCACAGCUUCACUCAGUGGGAUUCAACGGUUAUCAGAGGCCUGGAGGUGUCACAGAUCUAUUAAAACCCAGUUCCAGCAGGAAAAAGCCUGAAGAGAAUGGAACAUGCUCACCCACAUGUCCCAGCAUACACAUCACUUACAGACCUGGCCCCAAAUGCAGGUCUCAUGGCUCCUGAGCCAGCCUCCACAGUUAAGGGUGCCAAAGUGGACACAGCCCAGACCCACAGAGGAGGGUCAAGCCCAUCAGGCACCUAAAAAGAGUGUGGCCAGGCCAGAGUGACAGCUUGAGGUGAACUCUGCAGUUCCCAGGGGAAACCUGGUACCAGUGGGCUGUGGCACUGCCAGGGCUACCCCACAACCUGCCACAGUCUCACAGAAAUUGGGGUGGGGGGCCAGUGCUGCUGGCCAGGACUGGGACAACCCCCCUGGGCUGCGGCAGAGAGAGCUGCCCUGAAACAGUCUGGAAAGGGAACCGCAACUGUCUUUUUCUUUGCAAGCCCUCAUAGGCUCCACACCCACGCAAAGGCAUGAAAUGGGAACCAAGGGCAAUUACCAACCCUCUUCCUGCCCCAGCUGGAACUAGUGGCUGCCCUAAGCAGCACCUGGAAGAGGCCAUGGCAAACAUUCCUUUGCCAGCUGCCAGUAAGUGGACUGGGGUCUCCCUCUUGGCUCUUCUCCCUGCAGGGGAGACUCAGCCUCUGUAGGGUGCAGGGUUCACCCCACAGCCUGGGAAAGGAGGGUACCCCAAUCAGUGCAGAGCCUCAGGUUCACCCUAUGUGAGUUGCCAUCUCAGCACAGGGCAGAGGGACACGUGCCACACAUGCCAUGCCACUGAGGUCCCCUGUGGCUGAUGCUGUGGGAAGGAGUUACUGCAGAGGACCAGCCACUGUUGCCACCACUGUGGGGCAGCUCUGAAAAAGGGUACUUAAAAACAAAUAAGAGGUUGUGAAUCGCACCAGCACUGCCUGAGCAGUGUGAGCCCCAAGCACAGCUUCUGGAGGAGUAGACAGAUGAGGCUACAGCACUUGGAAGGGGAGCAGGUGGCUUUAAGACCCUGCCCCACAGCAGGGGACAGGGCAUCCCCAGUCCCUGAGAAGCCCAGAGGUGAUGGGAAAGGACAUGGACACAU